rnacentral:rRNA from 1 species
GACGGAAGGUGCAAGCGUUGCUCGGAAUCACUGGGCGUAAAGGGUGCGUAGGCGGCUUGGCGGGUCUGGUGUGAAAGCCCCGGGCUCAGCCCGGGAAGGGCACUAGAAACUGACAAGCUUGAGUACCGGAGGGGAGAGUGGAAUUCCUGGUGUAGCGGUGAAAUGCGUAGAGAUCAGGAGGAAUACCGGUGGCGAAAGCGACUCUCUGGACGGUAACUGACGCUGAGGCACGAAAGCGUGGGGAGCAAACAGGAUUAGAAACCCCCGUAGUCC